UACGUAGGGUGCGAGCGUUAAUCGGAAUUACUGGGCGUAAAGCGUGCGCAGGCGGCUUCUCAAGUCAGGGGUGAAAGCCCAGAGCUCAACUCUGGAAUUGCCUUUGAGACUGAGUGGCUUGAGUACGGGAGAGGUGAGUGGAAUUCCCAGUGUAGAGGUGAAAUUCGUAGAUAUUAGGAAGAACACCAGUGGCGAAGGCGGCUCACUGGUCCGGUACUGACGCUGAGGUGCGAAAGCGUGGGGAGCAAACAGG
rnacentral:rRNA from 1 species